ACCUACCUAUCAGAGGGGAAUAACCCGGCGAAAGUCGGACUAAUACCGCAUAAAACAGGGGCACCGNNUGGUGAUAUUUGUUAAAGAAAUUCGCUGAUAGAUGGGCAUGCGUUCCAUUAGGUAGUUGGUGAGGUAACGGCUCACCAAGCCGACGAUGGAUAGGGGAACUGAGAGGUUGGUCCCCCACACUGGUACUGAGACACGGACCAGACUCCUACGGGAGGCGGCAGUGAGGAAUAUUGGUCAAUGGGCGGGAGCCUGAACCAGCCAAGUCGCGUGAAGGAAGAAGGAUCUAUGGUUCGUAAACUUCUUUUGCAGGGGAAUAAAGUGCAGGACGUGUCCUGUUUUGUAUGUACCCUGAGAAUAAGGAUCGGCUAACUCCGUGCCAGCAGCCGCGGUAAUACGGAAGAUCCGAGCGUUAUCCGGAUUUAUUGGGUUUAAGGGGUGCGUAGGUGGUUUGAUAAGUCAGCGGUGAAAGUUUGCAGCUUAACUGUAAAAAUGCCGUUGAAACUGUCGGACUUGAGUGUAAAUGAGGUAGGCGGAAUGCGUGGUGUAGCGGUGAAAUGCAUAGAUAUCACGAAGAACUCCGAUUG
rnacentral:rRNA from 1 species